rnacentral:lncRNA from 1 species
UAAAGCAGAAAUUUCUAAUGAUACGAAGGCAUUUUUUCCAUUUGAUCUUAAGUUCCUAGGAACCAGAUUCAAAUUGACAGGGAUCGCAAAAUGCUAACUAACUGAGACUGACUGUAACUGUUUGCUAACAGCUUGGGAUGCAAGUAACAGAAGGAACUUCAAAAUUAACAGUUAUCGUGAGAAGAAGAAUCCUUUUGUGUUUUUUGUUAUCUGCAUUUGUUUGUUAUUUCUGAAAUCUAAAUGAAUUCUGUGUUUGAUCUGAUUUCCGAUUUACAGCCAGGUAGGGAGGCAUGGAGAAUUAAGG